UACGUAGGGGGCUAGCGUUGUCCGGAAUUACUGGGCGUAAAGCGUGCGCAGGCGGUCUUUUAAGUCAGAUGUGAAAUCCCCGGGCUUAACCUGGGAACUGCGUUUGAAACUGGAAGGCUAGAGUGUGGCAGAGGGGAGUGGAAUUCCACGUGUAGCAGUGAAAUGCGUAGAGAUGUGGAGGAACACCGAUGGCGAAGGCAGCCCCCUGGGCUAACACUGACGCUCAUGCACGAAAGCGUGGGGAGCAAACAGG
rnacentral:rRNA from 1 species